rnacentral:lncRNA from 1 species
AAUUUCCUCACUCCUCAGUCCUGCGCAUUUUACAGGCACUCUUGCCCCUCAGGACACCAUCAUCACUUCUCUGAGGUUAGUGUUCAAGGGAGAUGAACUCCAUCCAGGAACCUGGGCAAAUACUGAUGAGAAAAAGUCACUGGGAAACAUUCCAGGGCUCAGUCAGGAAAGGACAACAAGUGCUGGUCCCCACAGCUCACUGGGCCGAGGUCCAUCACCCUCAGGGGAAGCCCAAGCCUUGGAGGAGCACUGGGCCUUCUGGACCACAAGCUGCACAGUCUUUGCAGAGGAGCUAGGCUGGAGCUGUUGGAGAGUCCUGCCAUCUUCCCCAGGAGUUUAAGAGCAGAGGAAAGCGAAUUGGAUUAUUGGCUCCCUGCUUUAGCUAGAAGAAAAGUGGGAAGGACAUGGCAAGCACCAAAAAAUCAGAAGUGCUGGGUGCCUCGGCUCCAAGGGAAAGCAGGCCAUGUGAGUUGAAGACUACUUUUCAGUGGUACUCCAAAGGCAAACCUUUGAGAAGCCCGCUCAAGCUGAUUUCCAAGUCUCCUGUCUCAUCUUGAGCAGAUCUACCCGUGGUUAGAGGUAUUCUGAAGGAGAGAGAGAUGGGGCGAUAAGAGCACAAAAUGGGGGAGAAUCACGGGGGGUGGAGGAGGUCUUCUCGGAUGAAGCAAAGAAUGAGCUGAUUUCUAAGGGCUGAGCAGACACUAACAAGCUAAGGGACAGUGGGAAGAACCUUCCGGCAGAGGGGACAGCAAGAGCACAGGGCUCGAGGGGAGGGAGCACCACACACAGGAGCUGCAGGAAGCCAAUGUGGCUGGCCUGGGGUGGAGAGAGAAGAUGCUGGGGGAGGACCAGAGAGGCAGGAGGGGCCAGCCCAGGCCUGUCCCCUCCGCCAGUCGGGACCACCAAAGGGGGCGGCAGGUCCUGUUCACUUCUAGCCGUG